CGAACGGGUGCGUAACACGUGAGCAACCUACCGAAGUGUGGGGGGAUAGCCGGUCUAACGGCCGAGUAAUACCGCAUACGAUUCCGAAGAGGCAUUUCUUUGGAAUGAAACCUACGGGACACUUCGAGGGGCUCGCGGCCUAUCAGCUAGUUGGUGAGGUAACGGCUCACCAAGGCUACGACGGGUAGCUGGUCUGAGAGGAUGGCCAGCCACAUUGGGACUGAGAUACGGCCCAG
rnacentral:rRNA from 1 species